CUCCUGAGCUCAAGCGAUCCUCCUGUCUUGGCCUCCCAAAGUGCUGGGAUUACAGGCGCGAGCCACUGCAACUGGCCCAUUAAAUUUUUAGUAAGUAUGUAUGUAUUACUCUUACAAGCAGCAGAAAUGACAGGAGUGUGGACACUCCUGGGGAGGGAGAAGAGAGCAAACUGCCAUGCUGGUGGACAGGCAGGCCAGGAAGCCGUCUGCUCAGCCACCGCCCCUGUGCUGAGGCUGGCCCCCUCUCAAACAGGCUUUCCCAGACCACUGAGUACUCACCAUGGGGUGAUUCUGAGCCGUCUUCAGCAGUGACAAGGGAAGCUGAAAGGCAAAUAAAGCCACAUGAUUUGUCUGUUUGACCAGCGCCUGGGAGCUCUGGUCUUGAGUCCCACCCAUGACUCAUAGAUGGUGCGGUGCGGUUGAGGGGGCACAGGAGUGCGUGUCAAUCACCCCCCACUGGAAAUGCCAUUUCCUCACUCUGCCCAGCCCUGGAACACACACCUGCCUCUCAGAUUAGGAAGAAAAGCCUCACACACCCUCCCUACUCCCGUAGGUGGCCACCACCUGCUCUUGGUGCUGAACACUCUGGUCAAUUUUUUUUUUUUUUUUUUUUUUGAGACGGAGUCUCGCUCUGUCACCCAGGCUGGAGUGCAGUGGCAUGAUCAUGGCUCACUGCAACCUCCACCUCCCGUGUUCAAGCCUCACAAGCAGCUUGCCUCAGCCUCCCAAGCAGCUGGGGACAACAGGCAUGCGUCACCACACCCAGCAAAUUUUUGUAUUUUUAAUAAAGGCGGGGUUUCACCAUGUUGGCCAGGCUAGUCGCAAACUCCAGACCUCAGGUGAUCCACCCGCCUCGGCUUCCCAAAGUGCUGGGAUUACAGGCAUGAGCCACCGUGCCUGCCCUAAUGCUUGUAUUUUAAGCUCAAACUGGUAUCUCUGAGAUGCAUCCAUGUUGAUGAGGUUACUCUGAGUAUGGAGUUGAGGACACUACAGCUUGGAAACCCGAGGAACUUGCCCAGUACUAUGGCGCUAGGAGGAGACAGAGCUGGCCUGGUCCUGUCUGUCUGAAGCAAGCACAAGACCAUGCCUUGCAGGGCAGCCCCAACUGGCCCAAGACUGACACUGCCAGGCCCCAAUGCAGGGGUCAAUCCCAUCAGAGAAGGCCACAUCUGAGCUGGUUUUAUUUUUAUUUUUUUAGAUGAAGCCUUGCUCUAAAAAUACAAAACUUUGCUGGGCACGGUGGUGCGCAUCUGUAGUCCCAGCUACUUGGGUGCUGAGGCAGGAGGAUUGCUUGAGCCUGGGAAGCAAGCCUGUCACCCAGGCUGGAGUGCAGUGGUGUGAUCUUGGCUCACUGCAACUUCCACCUCCCGGGUUCAAGUGAUCCUCCCGCCUCAGCCUCCCAAAUAGCUGGGAUUAUUAGGGGUGCACCACCAUGCCCAGCUAAUUUUUGUACUUUUAGUAGAGAUGGGGUUUCUCCAUGUUGGCCAGGCUGGUCUUGAACUCCUGACCUCAAAUGAUCUGCUUGCCUGGUCCUCCCAAAGGGCUGGGGUAACAGCAUUGAGCCAUCACCCCCCGCCUGAACUGGGUUUUCUUUUUUUUUUUUUUUGAGACGGAGUCUCGCUCUGUCGCCCAGGCUGGAGUGUAGUGGUGCAAUCUCGGCUUACUACAAGCUCCGCCUCCCGGGUUCAUGCCAUUCUCCUGCCUCAGCCUCCCGAGUAGCUGGGACUACAGGCGCCCACCACCAUGCCCGGCUAAUUUUUUUUUAUUUUUAUUUUUGUAUUUUUAGUAGAGACAGGGUUUCACCGUGUUAGCCAGGAUGGUCUCGAUCUCCUGACCCCGUGAUCCGCCUGCCUUGGCCUCUCAAAGUGCUGGGAUUACAGGCGUGAGCCACCGCACCCGGCCCUGAACUGGGUUUUCAAAGACAGGAAGUCACCAGACCCCGUACUUGACGGAUCAGCUGACACUACCCAGACCAGUAAUCUGGCUCAACCAGUCCUGCGAUCCCACCCAGGAACAGAAGACAGCAAGAAAACCUCACUUCAACACUCCCGUCGAUGACUCCAUCGACCUCAGGAAGCUCCAACCAAUCAGCACUCCCCACUUCCUGAGCCCCUACCCGCCAAAUUAUCUUUCAAAACUCGGAUCCCCUAAUGCUCAGCGGAGACUGAUUUGAGCAAUAAUAAAACUCUGGUCUCCUGCA